CCCGUCUCCUAUCUUCGGCAUUGACCGGCUCCACGCGACUGUGUGUGCUUAUUCCGCCUGUUCUUUCCCUCCUCGCGGGUCUUGCACCUCUGGGCCCAGGAGUUCUUAACUCUCCGGCUAAGGAUCUUGGAAUGCUGCCUACGGAGGCUGAGGGUCCCCCGCUCCCACCGGAAAUCCCCGAGACGGCAUCUUCCACAUGCCUGGAGCUCCAAAGUGGAUUGGAAUCGUCUCCGCUCAUUUUUGUCCAGAAUCCAGCCACCAUGCAGUGAGGAAGCCCAGACUGGUUCAAGCUGGGAGACCACAUGGAGAGAAACUGAGGCCCUCUGCCA
rnacentral:lncRNA from 1 species